rnacentral:rRNA from 1 species
CCCUUAGAUGUUCUGGGCCGCACGCGUGCUACACUGAGUGGAUCAGCGGGUCAGGUUGCGCGAAAGUGUUUCCUAAUCUUUAAAUCCGCUCGUGAUGGGGAUUGACGGUUGCAAUUUUCCGUCAUGAACGAGGAAUACCUUGUAAGCGCGGGUCAUCAUCCCGCGCUGAAUACGUCCUGCCCUUUGUACACACCGCCCGUCGCUCCUACCGAUUGAGUGGUCCGGUGAGGCUUUGGGAUCUGAGCGGAAAGAGCGUUUCGCUGUUUCUGCCCGGAAAACUCAGUCGAACCUUAUCAUUUAGAGGAAGGAGAAGUCGUAACA